rnacentral:tRNA from 1 species
AUUGCUUUGGCAGAAUAGUGUGAUAGAUUUAGAAUCUUUUUAUGUAGUUUUAUAGAACUAUAAGUAAUA